rnacentral:rRNA from 1 species
AUACGGAGGAUGCAAGCGUUAUCCGGAUUUAUUGGGUUUAAAGGGUGCGUAGGCGGUUUGCUAAGCGGGAGGUGAAAUGCCGGCGCUCAACGUCGGAAGUGCCUCCCGAACUGGGGGACUGGAAUGACUCUGCCGUGGGAGGCAUGUGUAGUGUAGCGGUGAAAUGCUUAGAGAUUACACAGAACACCGAUUGCGAAGGCAUCUCACGAAGGGUUGAUUGACGCUGAGGCACGAAAGCGUGGGGAUCAAACAGGAUUAGAUACCCUGGUAGUCCACGCAGUAAACGAUGAUGGCUAACCGCUGGUUUUUUCGGAUCAGUGGCCAAGCGAAAGCGAUAAGCCAUCCACCUGGGGAGUACGACCGCAAGGUUGAAACUCAAAUGAAUUGACGGGG